rnacentral:tRNA from 1 species
AAUAUCUUGGCAGAAAUACAUGCAUUUGACUUAGGAUCAAAUUAUAAUACUUAGUAUUAGAUAUUU